AACCGGAUUAGAUACCCUGGUAGUCCAUGCCGUAAACGAUGAGUGCUAGGUGUUGGAGGGUUUCCGCCCUUCAGUGCCGCAGCUAACGCAUUAAGCACUCCGCCUGGGGAGUACGACCGCAAGGUUGAAACUCAAAGGAAUUGACGGGGGCCCGCACAAGCGGUGGAGCAUGUGGUUUAAUUCGAAGCUACGCGAAGAACCUUACCAGGUCUUGACAUCUUCUGCCAAUCCUAGAGAUAGGACGUUCCCUUCGGGGACAGAAUGACAGGUGGUGCAUGGUUGUCGUCAGCUCGUGUCGUGAGAUGUUGGGUUAAGUCCCGCAACGAGCGCAACCCUUAUUAUCAGUUGCCAGCAUUCAGUUGGGCACUCUGGUGAGACUGCCGGUGACAAACCGGAGGAAGGUGGGGAUGACGUCAAAUCAUCAUGCCCCUUAUGACCUGGGCUACACACGUGCUACAAUGGACGGUACAACGAGUCGCGAAGUCGUGAGGCCAAGCUAAUCUCUUAAAGCCGUUCUCAGUUCGGAUUGUAGGCUGCAACUCGCCUACAUGAAGUUGGAAUCGCUAGUAAUCGCGGAUCAGCAUGCCGCGGUGAAUACGUUCCCGGGCCUUGUACACACCGCCCGUCACACCAUGAGAGUUUGUAACACCCAAAGUCGGUGAGGUAACCUUUUGGA
rnacentral:rRNA from 1 species